GGGCGCUCUCUGCACAUGCCCAUAGGCAUAUCUCCCGGUCAUGCGGCCCAGAACUAGUUUUCCUUGCCGGAACUUAACAGCAAUGCAAAAUGGUGAUUCCCAAAUAAUGAGGGCAGCUGAAGCAAACCCCCAUUUGCUGUUGGCCUCCGGUCCUGCUUGUGGGUCUCUCGUGGGCAGCUGCUUGGCCACUGUGUGAACAGAACGCUGGACUAGAUGGACCCUGGGUCAGAUGCAGCAUCAGGACACUUCUCAUGUUCUUAUUCCUGCAUUCAUGUUGGGGCUGUGGUUUAAAACAACCCAGUCGCACAUGCUUCAGAGUAUUUCUUCCUAUCCAGCAGGACUCUUCUUAUGAUCGACACAGCUGGGGACUCGUUCUGACUGGAAUUCAUUCACUCAACCAUGCUUUGAUUCUGCUGGACUUGAACCCGAGGCCACGCGGUGCUUUUUUCUGGAUUUAUCCACCAGCGUUAGGGUACCUGGCAAACUUUGUCAAAAGGACUUUGCUCUGCCUUUAAUAAAAAUAAAUCAAAGUAACUCAAAA